rnacentral:tRNA from 1 species
GGAGUUGUGGCUCAGAGGUAGAGCACUUGCCUGGCUUGCGUGAGGUCCUGGGUUCGAUCCUCAGCACCA